CGGAGCGUAGCGCAGUCUGGUAGCGCACCUGAUUUGGGAUCGAGGGGUCGCAGGUUCGAAUCCUGCCGCUCCGACCA
rnacentral:tRNA from 1 species